CCUACUCUCGUCAGUGACGUCAGUCUUUAACUGGCAGUGACGGGAGGAGGACGUGCGCGGUGCCGGUCUGCAGCCGCGCUUGAUGACUGAGAGGCCAGCGACCACCAGACGGCCUCCGUGGACCUCGGCUGACCCGCGGCCGACGUCCACAUUUUCGGCCAGCGAAGGAUGACGUGCGUGGUGCUGGUCUGCAGCCGCGCUUGAUGACUGAGGGGCCAGCGACCACCAGACGGCCACCGUGGACAGCGUGGACCUCGGCUGACCCGCGGCCGACGUUCACAUUUUCGGGUUUGCGACCUCGAGUACCAUCCGGACAACCAGUUCCUCGCUUCCUGGAAACGACCAACGAUACUACGUUUGGAACCUUCAUCCCUCCAACCAGUCCCAAUUAUGCUCUUCUU